ACUAUCCUGAGGCUGAAUACUACUUAUUGUGUUGGUGGUGGCAGAGGCAGCAGUGGGUGAGGUGUCAGCAGUACUCGUGGUCUAGGAAAAAGUUAAGCAGAUUCUCAGAGGCCGUGGCAAUACUGCUGAUGGUGGACUGGGGAACCUACCCUUCCUCAAUUUCUACUUCGAAUUUAGAUGUAACAUUGAAAAUCAAUGGCAAAUUAGCAGUCUCCUAUCUCCGAGUUGCUUCACGUGUCUGCUAGUUGGAUACAGCAGAAAGUGCA